rnacentral:rRNA from 1 species
GAUGAACGCUAGCUACAGGCUUAACACAUGCAAGUCGAGGGACCGGCGCACGGGUGUGUAACACGUAUCCAACCUGCCCUUUACUCGGGGAUAGCCUUUCGAAAGAAAGAUUACUACCCGACAUAAAGGAUGGGGAUGCGUUGCAUUAGGUUGUGGGUGAGGUAAUGGCUAACCAAGCCUUCGAUGGCUAGUGGGUCUGAGAGGAAGGACCCCCGCAUUGGAGCUGAGACACGGUCCAAACUGGUAGGGGAGGCAGGAGAGAGUAAUAAAGGUGAAGGGGCGCUAGCAUGAACCUGCCAAGUGGCGGGAAGGGUGAAGGGGUAUGGAGCUUUAGCUACUGUGAUGUAAGGAUCUGUAUUAUAUGAAGAAGGAUCGGCUAACUCCGUGCCAGCAGCCGCGGUAAUAC